rnacentral:ribozyme from 13 species
UUCCUUUUUUUUUUUUUUUUUCCUCUUCUUUUCUCAAGCCUCACUAGUACAAUUCAACAAAACUUAUGGGAAAGCUCCUCCCCCUCGUCACGCAAGUUAUGGUGGUGCUGGAAGUUUAGGCGCGUUUCGCACACAACAUAAUCUGCAAAAUGAUUCAAUGGAUUGGAAUUAAAUUGUUUUUCUGCUUUUGAUAU